UCCCUGUAAUCUUCUGAAAUUGUGAUGGGUUUCAGGCUUUGAAGGCGGGUUUUUCCUGGAUUUACAAGACAUUUGAAAUUGACCUGGCAAGCCUGUCUCUGUCUGAGCAUGAUCACAACAAAAGUAGCUGUGCAGCACGUUUUUUAAUGAAGAGGAGGAUGGUUGUAGACGUUCACAUUCCUGCAAGAAGGCACUGCAGAGGCUCAGAAGACACAUGGAAACUCUAAAAGAAACAUAAUUCAACUUGUAGGCCAGAUUUGAGAAGGAAAUAAUAAAUCCCGAAGCUCAGAUGUCAGACACCGAGGCUGCCAGUACCUCUGGGUCGAUAGUCCAUGUGUUGGAUGAUGCACUGCCGUUGAUCAGAACAAGUUAGUAACUUGACCAAAGCUAUGCUUGGAUACAAGACUGAUGACUCAAUAACCAAUAUUGACAACAGUGAAGAUGGUUGUGUCCCAGGGCCAUCAGAGGAAGGCAAUUUCUAUGAAGAAAAUCUGACCGGAGAGAUGUCAGCGAUUCGGGCCAAUGACCAAGGGAAAGCUGGGACAAAAGAGAGGCUCACACAGUGCCAAAGGAACAAAAAGGUAUUGGUCGACAAUAGAGGUGGAUGCAGUUGAUUCCUUGAUGAAUUUUAUCCGAAUGGGAAAAACACCUGGAAAACAAGACUGUGAGAAUUGCAUUGCUGCUUCUCCCAAGCGCUAGUAAACAGGGACUGGAGAGCAGUUAAGUUCUAUGUACACAACAGAAUAGUUGCAGAUCAGAGAAAAUAAGUGUAUGAGAUGCUUCUGGCUAUCUUGGUGUACUUCUGAGGAUUUAAUGGGACUUACUUGACUUAAACUCAUCAACAGAUGACGAAUGUCCUCUAUCUCACUGUUUCGAUCGUCAAAAGGAGUGGAUCAAAACGCAGCGUGUUGAGUGCUCAUAU